GGAAUUGACGGGUCCCGCACAAGCAGCGGAGCGUGUGGUUUAAUUCGUUGCUACACGAAGAACCUUACCUGGAUUUGACAUAAUGGUGGUAGGGAUCCGAAAGGUGACCGACCUUCGGGGAGCCAUUUACAGGUGUUGCAUGGCUGUCGUCAGCUCGUGUCGUGAGAUGUUCGGUUAAGUCCGCUAACGAGCGCAACCCUCGCUGUGUGUUAUAUGUGUCACACAGGACUGCUGGUAUUAAGCCGGAGGAAGGUGGGACGACGUCAAGUCAGCAUGACCUUUAUAUCCAGGGCUACACACACGCUACAAUGGUCAGUACAAUGGGUUGCCAAGCCGCGAGGCGGAGCCAAUCCUAAAAAGCUGGCCUCAGUUCAGAUUGCAGUCUGAAACCCGCCUGCAUGAAGAUGGAGUUGCUAGUAACCGCAGGUCAGCUAUACUGCGGUGAAUACGUUCCCGGGGCUU
rnacentral:rRNA from 1 species